UAGCGUAGUUCGGAAUUACUGGGCUUAAAGAGUUCGUAGGUGGUUGAAAAAGUUGGUGGUGAAAUCCCAGAGCUUAACUCUGGAACUGCCAUCAAAACUUUUCAGCUAGAGUAUGAUAGAGGAAAGCAGAAUUUCUAGUGUAGAGGUGAAAUUCGUAGAUAUUAGAAAGAAUACCAAUUGCGAAGGCAGCUUUCUGGAUCAUUACUGACACUGAGGAACGAAAGCAUGGGUAGCGAAGAGGAUUAGAUACCCUCGUAGUCCAUGCCGUAAACGAUGUGUGUUAGACGUUGGAAAUUUAUUUUCAGUGUCGCAGCGAAAGCGAUAAACACACCGCCUGGGGAGUACGACCGCAAGGUUAAAACUCAAAUGAAUUGACGGGGACCCGCACAAGUAGUGGAGCAUGUGGUUUAAUUCGAAGAUACGCGCAGAACCUUACCAACACUUGACAUGUUCGUCGCGACUCUAAGAGAUUAGAGUUUUCGGUUCGGCCGGACGAAACACAGGUGCUGCAUGGCU
rnacentral:rRNA from 1 species